rnacentral:lncRNA from 1 species
AAAAGAUUUUAAUCGUAAAUGAGAGGAUUUGUUACGUAGAAAAAGGAAAAUAGAUUCGUAUUCACAUACAUAAAAAUUAUAUAGGAACAAGAAAACUCUUAGAUUACUUUUUGAAAAAGUAGAAAUCGAUUUUUUUGGAGUAAUAAGAUUAUUCCAAUUACAAUAUUCAUAAAAAAACAACCUUAAUAAGUGAAACAAAGGGGCAUCUUUAGCCCAGUAUCGAAAGACUUGAACCAAGAUUUCCAGAUGGAUAGGAUAGGGUAUUCGUGCAUCUGACACAUAAUUUAAAUAUGUUAAUUUAUCUUCGAAAAACGGAAAAAUGGAAUGAAUUGAUCGCAAAUUUUUAUAAUAUUUUAUGAUUUUUGACUCCUCUGAGGAAGAGUUUAAUUGUAGGGAAAGUGGAAUUUCCACGACGAUGGCAAAACCUUCUGAUAUUAUUUGAGAAUACAAAUUUUUAUUAUAACUCAAAAAUUGAUUUUUUUUAGAAUCAUUAGCCGAAAUAAUCAAGUGAUUCUGUUGAUCCAUUCGAGUAAUUAAACGUUUUACAAUUAGUAAACUAGAUUUAUUAUCAUAAUCUACAUUUUCCGAAAAAAUAGAUCCAUUAAAAUCAUGACCAUAAACGAGUCCAUAAAUAUACUCCCGAAAAAUGAGUGGGUAUAGGAAGUGCUGUUGGCGAGAGAUAUCUAGUUCUAAAUAUACUUGAUAUUCCUCCAUUUUUGACAUUCAAUUUGGUCAAACAAAGGAUCAGGGAUUCAUUAGAUUCUCAAAUAAUACAUAGUGCGAUACAGUCAAAACAAGGUAUUAUUAUUAUUAUAUAUUUGAAUAUUCUAAUUCGAAUAAAAAACGAAUAUGAAUAGAUACCUAGAAAACAAGUAAAAAAAAAAAAACCAUCAACGGACUCUUUCUCCUCGCUUUUUCCAUCGAAUCGUGUCGUGCUCUAGGAUAAGAAGCCAGUUAGAAAUCCUUUAUUUUAUCAGCGCAAUCGCUCUUUUGAUUUUUGGAAAAAAAAAUAUCUUUAUCAAUAUACUCUUUCUUGUACACAUUUAUCGCCAUCCCAUAAUGGAGAAUAGCUAUAUAGUUAGUACUAAUAACAAAAAUAAAUAAAAAAUAUAUUUGUGGCAAAAGCUUUUCCCACAUCAAGCACAAGUUGAUUUUUAACAUACAAUUAGAUGGGACAAUCAUUCAAAUAAAAAGGGAAAGCUGGUAAUAUUAUAUAAAUAUAUGAAUGAUAAAUUAUGUAUCAAUGGCACAUAGAAACAUAGGCGGAAUUAAUAGAAAUUAAAGUAAUAUAUUGAUAGAGACCCAAUCAGGCCACCCCAACCAAGACCCAACAGAUUGAAGCAAAUACCCACCUGGCUUAAGGACUGUGUUAUUAAUUAAAUUACAAUGUUUACUUUUAUGUUAUGAACUUUUCUGGGCUUGGAGCUACUUGAGCCCAACCUGUAAAAAUUAACCUGAUGUUGCUGAGUUAGUAUUUACCCCCUAUGGUUUGGAGGCUGAGGUAUCAAUGCAUGAAAGGAAAUAUAUGACUUACUUCUGCAGAUUUUUGUAGAAAAGCUCCAGGAGAACAAGGAUCAACAAGAUGCAAAGUAUGAGGCCAUUGUUGAAGCACUACGUAAUAUCACUGACAAACUCACAAAUAUCAUUUCCUUUUCUCUACCCUAAAUAAUGUUUUUAAAAUACAAAUAUCAACAAAAAGCAAUUAGAACUAGUCCUCACUUCAUUUGCAUAAUUAAAUGAAAAGGGUUGGAGUGUGUAACUAUAUAAUAAAUAUAGGAAUAUUAACAAUUACUCUCAUGUUCUUCUAUAUGUUGUUUAUAUUUUAUUUGAUUGAUAGAAGAAAGUCAGAAUAGGGAAAGAUGGAAGAGAGAUACUAAGAAUAUAAUUAAAACAAGAAAAACUAAUAUUAACUUGAACUUUGGAAACAACAUAUAAAUAAGAAUUCUUUAAAAAUGACACAAGGAAGGAAGGGAGUAGUAAUUACAAAAAUUAGGUUUCAGUUUUAAAAAUUAUUUUUAAGGAUAAUAAAUAAGAUAAAAGAUGGAAAGUCUUUAUUAGGAAGUAGUGUGUUUAAUCUAUUCAACAUUUAAAAUCAUCAUUUUCCAAUCUAUACUUUCCUAAGAUUAAGGGUGACAUUAUUAUUUCAUUUUUUCUCUUAAUGACAUUCUCUUGUUUUUAUCCAAAUGAAAAAUUGUUGAUUAAGAAAAUGGAUAGAGAUGAAAAUGAAGAGAAUCUCCAUAAUUUUUACUCCAAUGUUUUACAUUAUUUUUGAACAAUCUUUUUUAAAAAAAAUUAAGAAAGAAAAUAUAUAUGUUUCCUAAAAGAGAAAUUUAUACUGUAAUAUACAAAUUAUCUUGAGAAUUGAGAUAUGAAAAUCAUUGCUCGGUAAAAUUGCCAAUGAAGGUGCAUCUAUGAGAGGAGCAAUGAUGACAUGUCUUACAAAUUACUAUUUUCAUAUCCCAAAUCAAUUACAUUCCAUUAAAUGAUCUAAAAAAAAUAUUUUCUAUUUUUAUAAUUUAUAAUUUUAAUUAUAUGUCAAUUUUUGAUGAAAUUAGGAUAUAAAUAAAAUACUAAAAAUGAGAUAGGUGUAGUUUAUUCUUACUAGACACCCCAAAUCCUAAUAUGCGUGAUGUAGGAGUGGCCAACAAGAUUGGCCCACAAAAAGUUGAUGGACAUUAUACUUGAUGAGAUCCAAUUUGGACUCUAAGGGUUAGUUUGGGAGUUGGAUUUUGGAGGGGAAGGAAGGGAAAGGGAAGGCUUGGGAGUCAUCUCCCAAGUGUAUUUCAUGGCUCCCAAGCCUUCCCUUUCCCUUCCUUCCCCUCCAAAAUCCAACUCCCAAACUAACCCUAAAGGGAUGAAUGGUUGGGAAGAUGGAAAUGUAAGCUGUGUUAGGACUUGACCUGCAUGGAAAAGCUGAAAACUUUGGGUAUCAGAUACCAAAAUAUCAGCUAUGGAAACGUGGCUCUAGGAGCUUGAUUCAUUUUCCUUGCAACAUAUCUACACUUAGUUUUUAUAAUCUAUCAUGUAGUGUAAAAGAAUUUUUUAAGUCAUCUUUAUAUCAUCAAUUAUUCAUAUUUUAAUUAUUUUACUGAUGUUGAUUAACUCAUUUGAAUAGUGAUGGCUUAAGUGGUUAGUAAAAGGGUUAAUCUUUGAGUCUUUAUCUUGUAAUAUUUUAAGCAUUAUUGUGCUUAGUAUACCUAGCUGUUUAACCCGCUUUUGUGUAGUAUGGAUUUGUCUCUUGGUGUGAGAUCACCACAGAGAUUGAAAUUCUUCACCAAGGCUAGGAGGUCUUGAUUUGAGGAUAAGAAUCUUGGCUGGGGCUAGUUCUUCUCAAGAGGCGAAGGGUAGAGUCAAACCAAGGAUGUAUAGAUCAUAGAUUUCAUGAAGUGAGCGUCCUAUGUGCUUGUAAAUGAAUUGGUAUUUGUAUCCAUUUUUCAAUAUUGUGAAGAAAUAAAAUCUCCCUGAUCCAGAAGGGGAGGCCUGGAUGUAGUUUGCAGUGGACCGUAAACGAACCAGGAUAAAAAUCCUUUUUGCACUGUUCUUUCUCUCUUUUAUCUUCUUUAUGUUUCUUUCCAUUAUAAAUUGAAUCUGUAAUUGAAAAAUUGGAUAUUUGUUUACUACCAUAUACUUAAUAAUUGUGCGUAAAAAUAUCUGAAUUACAAAUAUCAUCUCGGAUAGAGACCCGUGCGUUACCUCGAAGUUCUAGAAUGGUUGGCAAACAACUUUGGGUACCAAGUUGAGUAUGCGUUCAACCUACCAUCCGCAGACUGAUGGUCAAUCAUAAAGGAUCAUUAAAUCAUUGGAAGAUCUUCUCAGAGCUUACGUGUUGGAGCAUUCGGGAAGCUGGCUCACUACCUACAUUUGAUUGAGUUCACCUACAAUAAUAGUUUUCAUUCCAGUAUUAGAAUGGCGCCAUACGAAGCUCUCUAAUGUAGAAAGUGUAGAACACUCCUAUGUUGGUUUGAGGCGGGAGAGAAUCUAGUGUUAGGACCCGAUGUAGUUCAACAGACGACGGAGAAAACUAGAAUGAUAAGGGAAAACAUGAAGACUGCACAGAGUAGACAGAAGAGUUAUUAUGAUAGGAGAAGAACCCCUCUAAGCUUUGAAGAAGGAGAUCAUGUGUUUAUGAGGGUGGUUCCAACAACUGGCAUUGGAAGAGUACUUAAAUCCCGUAAGCUUAUCCCUAGGUUCAUAGGGCCAUACCAAAUCAUUAGAAAAGUCGGACUGGUAGCUUACCGAAUAGCCUUGCCCCCUUUGCUACCAAACCUACAUAAUGUCUCCCAUAUGUCCCAACUCAGAAAAUACAUUAGUGACCCGUCGCAUGUCAUUGAACCCGAAUCAAUUCAGCUAAAGGAUAAUCUCACUUUCGAGACUUGGCCGUUGAGAAUUGCCGACCGGAGUGUGAAAACUCUGCAAGGUAAGGAAAUCGCCUUAGUUAAGGUGAUUUGGAGUCAGACGAAUGGAGAAGAUGCUACUUGGGAGGUCGAAACUGGCAUGAAGGAAUCAUUUCCCCAUUUGUUUUCUUAGAAGGUACGUUUAAUUUUCGAGGACGGAAAUAUUAUAAGUUGGGGAGGAUGGUAACACCGUGUUAAGGUAUUCUCUCUCUUUUUCUCUUCUCCAUUUUUCUCCACAUACACCAUGAGAAAAUCAUGAUCUCUUAGUAUGUUAUUCAUGGAGUUGAGUUUAUGUUUGUUUUCUUUAAAUAUUUUUUAAGUCAUGACUAAAGGGGAUGAUAAUGAAAUCAUAUGAACCUUUGUGUAGUUUUUGACUUAUGUAAAACUUAAAAUUUCUUCCUUGUUCUUAGAUGGAAAAACUAUAUCUUUGGACAAGGUUAGAUGAGUUUAUUUGCUUUAGAAAUAUUCGAAAUUAUUGUUAGUAUUUGAAUGUGUUUAAAGGUGAUGAUUUGAACAUCAAAGGAANNNNNNNNNNNNNNNNNNNNNNNNNNNNNNNNNNNNNNNNNNNNNNNNNNNNNNNNNNNNNNNNNNNNNNNNNNNNNNNNNNNNNNNNNNNNNNNNNNNNAAAGGUUGUUUAGCAUAUGCUAUUCUUUGAUUUCCAAGUUAAAGUAAUGAUUUGGGAUAAAAGACGAUUUAUUAAAGUCUUGACGUCAUAAACUUAAAGUAUUAUGAAGUUUUGGAUAAUAAAUUAGUAAAAGUGUUAACUUAUGAUUUAUAGUUCAUGACUAUGAAAUCAACACCUAUUAACCCUUGAGGUUAUCCUAAUAUUUGGAGGUGUUGAGAUGAUCAUGAAAUUAGUUGUGUUUUCUUUAGUAGCAUACUUUAAAUGAGGAUAUUGACCUAAAAAGUCUGGACUUNAUCUAAAGUGUUAUGAAGUCUUAGAUAGAAAAAUGAUUUAAAAGUGUUGAUCUUGGUUAAGUUAGCUUACUUUAAAGUGGUAAGAUUGACUUAAAAAGUCUUGAUUUAAAAGUAUUGAUUUUGUUUAAGUUGACUUACUUUAAAAUGGUAAGUCUACCUUAAUAAUCUUACUUAAAAAAGUUAAUCUUAAUAAAAAUGUUUUACUUGCAAAAGAUAAGUUUUAUGAAUAGUUAUAAUUACCGAGAAAAUGUAAUGAAGUGGAAAUACAUGCCUAGAAAAGUUCUGUCUAAGGAAAGACUUGGUAUUUAAGUGUGUCUUUACGAUCCACCUCUCUUUCCUGGGAACUAACAUGGUGUAUAUCCACAAAUUAUGACAUAAUUCUGUUAUAAGUUUUGUUAAAACUUUACUUUAGAAAGUGUCGUUGUGUUGUAAGACUUUCAAUGAUAAAUGAUGAUUCAAGAAAUAUCUAACCUUGAAUCGGAGGAAUGAAAGCGAUUAAGUUCAUUUUAGAUCAGAAGUUUUAUUUUUGCAUAAAAUUUUAUUUCGUAAGAUUAAUAAUUAUCAAAGUGACCUAAUUAGCGUUAUUUUGAUUUUAGCAUGAUGAAGAGUUCAAGAAGAGACUCGACGAAUUAAGCUCACCUGGAAUCGAGGAAACAAUCUUCACGACACACUCAGGUGAGGGAGAAAACAUCGUGACACAGUAGUGUCCGAAUAUGGUUCAGGACCUCCAAACUCCCUCACAAGUUUGUACUUAAUCAAUUGUCUGUUUUGUUUGGAUUAAGUACAACAAUAUUUCUUAUGCCGAAUUAUGUUAGGUUAUGUUUAUGUAUGAAGAUGCCAUGAUUAUUCCUGUUUAAUGUUGCUUGAAUAACUUUUCUAAGAAUUAUAUGUAUGAGAUAAUUGUUAAAUUCAAGGCUUAAAAACAUGUGUUAUAAAUGAGAAAACUUUUCAUUGAGAAAAGAAAUUUAACUAAGUUUCAGGCUUUUCUCGCUUGAUCGAGACAGCUCUCGCUUGAGCGAGAAGUGUCCAGAGAAAAUGAGUUUCCUCGCUUGGGCAAGACAGCUCUCGCCUGAGCUGAAAUAUGCACAAAGAAAACUGGUUGUUUUCUUGCUCUAGCGAGACAGCUCUCGCUUGAGCAACAUAUGCCUUAUAAAAAUGGUGAUUCCCUCGCUUGAGCAAGACAGCUCUCGCUUGAGCGAGAAGGCUCCAUACAGACAAGACUUCUUAAAGUCGUCUGAACGAUAACUCUCACAUGUGCGAGAGUCUAAUGGCAUUUUUUCCAUCAAGAAUCCAUUCACUUCCAAUCCUAUUCAAUAAAACCUAAAACACCUUUAUUGGAGAUAAUGUUCUUUCAAUAAGUAAAUGUUGUAAAGAUGAAUGAUUAUAUGAAACUCUUGGAAACGAUACAAAUAAGAGUUGUCAUAUCUAAAGUGAUGUUUGUAAAGAAUUGCAUGGUUAAGGACGAGGCCCGCAAGUAUUAUAUUAUGCCCACGCACCGAGAUCGUCUGAUCGUAAGAGGCUUGGCUUGAGAGCCGUCCAGGGUGAUUCAGCGAUGGUUUGUAGUGGUGCUGAGAAGUGUUAUAUGCCCAUGCAGCGAGAUCGUCUGACCAUAAGAGGCUUGGCUUGAGAGCCGUCCAAGGUGAUUCAGCGAUGGUUCGUAGUGGUGCUGAGGUUUAUUCUAUGUGGUUUAAAUGUUAAGAUCGGGUUCCACUAUAAGCAUUCCCGAUGGGAGAUGUCUUAGGAUGGGCAGAUCGUUAUAAAAGAUGGAUUAAAAUAUUUAAUUUACUAAUUUCGGUUAGUGUGCAUAUUCAUUGUGAAUAAUGAAGUAGUGGAGAGGAAAUUUACGGGAGACGAACGAGCUCCGAGAUAUUGAGAGGGACGGCGAUGGCGGUGAUUCGUCAGCAAAGUCUUGAGGGAGAGUCUAGGUGAGACGAGUCCCGUGUAUUCUUGGAUGAGGUGUUCUAUUGGAUCGGACAGUGCUCACAAUACAAACUAGACGAUCUCUAACAACCCCUCUUUGCAAUCAGGAUCGAUAAGAGGGAUGCCCAGAAAGUGUUUGAUAUGUCACCAUCCUGAAAUAGACAGUUUCGUUGGAACAGAUCGAUCAUAUAUAUAUCCUUGCGAAGAAUAAGUUUUGGUGCGAUCAAAUUGGCUUGUUAUGGGACCUGUACUCUCGGUUAUUUCCGAAUAGUUAUUGAGAGGAUAAUGUGUAAGGAUGGUGGACAUAUGCAUACAUGGUAUUUAUCGAUAUUGAUUCUAAAAUCAUAAGUUUUUGCUUCAUUCAUCAUUAAUACAUGUGUGUAUGAUCAUAUGAUAUAUCUAUACUUGUUCUUUGUCUUGGUGUGAUAUUUUGUGUAAUUCCACGACGUCAAUGAUAAGUUUUUCAUUAGAUGUUUUACUCUCUCUCUUUCUUUCUGGUGUACUCGUAUACAUCCAUGUUUAGAUGGACAAAUCAGCGAUGAUCAGGGGCUACCACUUUACCAUGUCCCACGAGGGGGCAUGCAGUGUUGAAGGAAAUAGAUACACCUACACUAGUCCUUGUGACCUGGAAUUGGAUCUCCUAUGUGAUGGCUCUAUGUUGCAUCUCCCGCCACAUUAUGCAGUUCGAGAAGCAUCGUUCACCCUACCAUAGCAAAGGUCCAUACUGCCGGUCCAUCCACACCAACUGAGGCACGAGGCAGAUCAGAGGUUGUCAGGACCUGGCCCCAACCGGGAUUCUCAUUUACUGACUCAACGGCAAGAGGGACGAAAGGAGCAGACAUGACUACUUCAUCGAGGCCUAUGGGGUACACCCUGGACCCUUCGAUGGAUUGGGCAACAUAUGAGGUGGUGGAGAACGAGGACGAUGAAGACCCGAGUGAGGUUUCCAGUGCACUACCAGUCUAGGAGCUCCUUUCUUUCUUUUGAGAGGGAACCUGUGUAGGGUACUUUUGUAAUGCCAACGCCUCCGACAUUAUUUUAUGUGUAUUUGUAUUUUUAGUAUUUGUUAGGGGCAAAGAAUAGACUCUGCCUUGUAUUUUAUAAACCAUGAUGUACGUAUUACAAAUUCAAGAAUUGAUUAAUGAGAAGUAUUCAAAAAAGAAUUGUCUUUCGUUCAAUUACAUUUUAAGUAUUAAGAAAUUAUUUCCACAAAGGUUUGAAAAUGUGACGUCUUGAAAGAGAAUAUAUAAAAUGGAAAAAAAUGAUUUGUAAGUUAUAUGUUACAUAAAGGAAAUUUUUUUUUACCCAUUUUCCCAAGAGAUUAAAUAUAGUAAUUAUGAAAUGAUUUUCGGGGCGUUACAAUGGGGAGUAAGUGAAUCCCCACUCCAUUAUAAAUAUCUUGGAGCUGUGUAUUUUUAUAUUAAAAUAUGAUUACUAAAAAACAUUUGAACUUAUCUUAUUAUUCAAAUAUUUGUUAUUUGAUAUGAUCAAUAUGAUUUGAACAUGUUUAAGGAAAUAAUAAAUGGAUAGAGAACUUGUUGUCUGGUCUAACGAAGUUGAAUAUCAGUUUCCUCAUUAAGUUGUUAGAAAUAAUCAUUGUCGUACUUAACAAUAUAGUAUGUGUUAAAACUUAUAUCGUUAUCAUUUCCUAGAUAAUGAGCGACACACAAUACAGGAAAAUAAAAACAUGGUAAACUGUAAAAAAACUCAAUUUGCUUUGUUAUAAAAUGCAAUAAUAAUUAUAAUUCAGGAGAUGUUGCUUAAAUAAACAAAAGAGAAGAGCGAUUUCAUAAUCAAAUUCUAUAUGAAAUUCACAAAUGAUCAAUUUAUUAUAGCUAAUGUAUAAUUAAUUAAGAGUAAAUUACACUCACAUCCCUUCCCUUGAAGUUUAAGUUAAAAUUACACUAAUACCCUUGAAAGUUUAACUUAAAAUUACACCCAUCACCCUUUUAUUGUUUAAAAGAUUACACUCAUCUUCACCUAGAAGUAGUUAGUAUAAUAUAUGUAUAUAAAUUAGGGGUGAUUUGCGUAGGGGUAAAAAAAAGGAAUAGGUAAUUUAUGUAAUUUAAAUAGAACUCAAUAAGUAUCCAUUUUAUUUACUCUUCUUUUGACAUUUAUACAAAAUAUUAUGGUCAACAAUGAACUGAACUAACUUUAUAUUUAUUUGAAACUCACCGUUAUUUAGCUCAACAUAAUUGGUUCGUGAAUUAAAUGAAUUGAACUUGAGAUAAAAAUUGAGCUUAUUAAAUAAAUUAUCAGAUCUUGAGUACAAUUUGAAACAUUAAAUUCAUUAGUUGAUUUGAUUAUAUGUAUGUAUAUAUAUAAAUGUAGAUAGUCAUAUAAAAAGGUAACUUUUAUUAAAAAGUAGUCCAUUUAAAAAAUAUUGAGAUGAAAUAUUUAAGUAUUAUAAUAAAAUAUGAUCCUAUUCUUUUAUUAAUUUUAAAAAUGGAUAUCAACACCAUUUUUGUUUCAGCUUCCCCAUUUCUUUUGUUGUACAGCUUCAUAAUUUUUCUAUUUAGUUCAUUACGGUUGCCAGGUGCCUUGCUAUUUGCAAUGCUGAAAGGUGUAAGUGUGAAUGUUUGGUUGCUUCCUGAGUCCAAUUUUAAGUCAAAUUUAAUAUAAAUAACUUUUUAGUCUAUGACCGUUAAAUUAAAUAGUUAGUAUUUUGGUCAUUAUAAAUUAACUAUUUUUGGUUUUAGUCCUUAAAGAGAAAAUUUGGGUAUACGUUUUUGCUAACUACUAAUUCGUUUCAGCACAUGCUUUUAAUUGUUGUAUUUAAUACUUUUGUGAAACAUGAGUAUAGAUCCCAGAUUAACAUUUUGGUUGAAAUGUAAAUGAAACAAUAAUCUCUCAAUGAAAAACUUAUUUAUUAUUUUUAAUAUCUUAAUUAGCUAUUUCCAUAUUAUUCAAAAUUUAUGCAUUUUCCAUUAUUAAAUAUCUUUAUUUCAUUUAAAAUGUGGCAUUGUCCAUAUUAAUCAAGAAACAAACAUUUUCAUUACUAAUAUAUUUCAUUACAAAAAUUAGGAACAAAAAUGUAAUUAAUUUAUAGGGACUGAAGUCAAAUUUGCUUAAUUUAUAGGGACUAAAACAAAUUUACUUGAUUUAAAGGGACUAAUAUCAAAAGAGUAUAUAUGAUGAUUUUGAUUUUAAAUUAUUUUUUAAUAAAAUAAAUAUAAAGAGGAGAUGUACUCCUCAAGGUUAUACAAGAGAAAGAAUAAGUCACAGAGUGCAUGAUGAAAAUAGAUUUGAGUUAAGGUAUAUCACUCAAUAAAUUGGUUCCUUAUUAAAGAAAUGAUAGCCGCAUGGGUUGCCCCCAAAUUCAUCAAUUGAAUUAUGGUAUUUGUGUCAACCACAACCUUUUCUCUAGCUACUAAUGGUAGAAAUGAAACCCAAACCGGACAUCAAAUCGAAAGAUAUCUCGUAUUAGGUUUAAUUAUUUGGUUUAACUGAGUGAUUUUAUAUAUAAUUAAUAUUUUUUAUCUAUAGAUAUAUAGUUAUAUAUAAAUAUAAAAUUUUACAUAAUUAAUAAUCAUGUAUAAUUAUAUUGAAGUAACGUCUCUUUAUCUUUUUUUUUGGACUGAAGUGAAACAAAAUAUUAGAGUAUCGUUCCAUUUUUUUAAUUUUUAAGUGAAUUGUCCGGUUUACUUCCCGGGUUAAUCCAGUUUAACCGAGUUUAACACGGACGGACCGAAAUUUCUCCGGUUCAAAGCGGUCUAACCCUAACUCAAUUAAAACAGAGCCGCUUUCAAGUCCGGUCAGCGGUUAAAUCGGUCGGACUGUCCAGUACGAUCCGGUUUUCACAACACUAGUAGAAACCAUGGCUUCUUUAAGAGGGCUAAGAAAACGUGAUCCUAUCUUAACAUUCAUUUGCGUUUGUCAUGGAAUUUCUUGUAGUAGUCAUAACGGAGAACACUAAGAAUAUCUGGAAAUGAAAGAUGCAUUAGAUGAAUUUACAAAAAAUAUCACGAUUGUAGGCAAACUUACAUAAAUCACAAAUCUUCAGAAGUGUUGCGAGCACUAACAAAAAACAAGAAGUGGUUCAGUUCUGAUGAUUCUAGGAAUCUCACUUUCCAAUUAGGUACCUACAUGUAUGUCCCUUUGUCUCCCAAAAAAUGGUCCCUUAUUGAUUGCCAAAUGAUUAAAAAUAAAAUUGUUGUAAGAAUUAAAUGCUGGUCAUUAGGCAUCUAUUAUAUGUAGGUAAGUAUUAUAAACACUCAAUUUUAUCUGACCUAUAUUAAAAUAAUUUAUUUUCAGAACAACAAAAAAUUUAUAAAUCAUUUUUAAGAUAUAGACGAUUAGAAAAUCUUUGACCACCACUAGACUUUUGUUUUAAAUAAAAAACAACAAAUUAUAAUACAAAUUUUACAAAUUGAAUUUUUAUAAAGAAAUUUUUUCAUUGUUGAAGACUCGUUACUUUCCAAUCAAUCACAAAGACAUGCUAUUUACGUUAAAAACUUCAACCUUACAUCAUUAGCAGUAACAACACAUUUAAACAAAAAGACACGUGGGAGAUCGGAAAAGUAACAUGAAAUAUAAAGAGAAUGAGCAUUAGAUAUUUUAUGUUCAUAUAGUGACACUCUAAGAAUUCCAAAACUGCAGCUAAAAAAGAAGGUAACCCACAGGUGGAAAAGUAAAGUCAAGGAGAAAAAUAGGAAAGAGGUGAAACGUACAGAGGGGGAAAAUAAAAAGUCUCAAUCUCUCUCCUCAUCUAGCUAUCUGAAAAAGCAGUCCCUCACUUACUGCCAAAAAGCUUUAAAAACAAGGAGUCAUGUAGGAAGAUUAUUGAAGAAGAGGGAUGGAAGAAGAUGUAGCAAAAAAAAGUCCCCUUUUAUUAUUUCUCUCUAACAGCAGGAAUACAAAAAAACACCGUAGUGUCUCACCAAUUUCACCUUCAUCCCUUCUCAUCCCUCACUAUUAUUCACUCCAUCUUUACCCAUCUAUAUACAUAGUUUGAUAAAUAGCCUUAAGAAAUCAACCUUCAUUUUUUACAAACCCUUUCUUCUUCUGCUAUCACCAUCUUUGACCAAUUUGAUAUGACAAUACUACAACCCAUUCCACCUUUGUCCACUGUCUCAUUCAUCCACCAUCCAAUUCAUCGUGAAUUGUUGUUGCCAUCACUGCAUCAAUAGUCGCCAUAACUCCCGCACCUACCCGUCACGCAGCGAUGGAUGUAUCGGUGGUUGUGAUGCCGAAGGAGGAAGACUUGGAGUGAAGCUAUUUCGAGUGAGGACUUUGAAUGGGUUGAUAAUAAAGAAGAUUGUAAAGGCAUCGAACUAGUGAUUCAUAGAGCAAACGUUCUCACCAACCAAAACUACAAUGUAAGGUUAGGUGAUUUUGGAUUAGCUUCAGGGCCACGUUAAUGAUUAUGGACUAAGGAUCACCCCACCUGUUGGUACCAUGGACAACUAUGAUAGAAAGAAACCAGUGAUGGAAGCAUCAUUUCCUAGUUUUCAUUACUACUAAGUGAGCUCAAUUUCACUUUCAUAUGGAUGAGUAACUUUGUUCCAUUUACCAAAGUAGUCAACUUAACCUCAUCAUCAAUGGAAACUUCCAUGCCAAACAUUGCCCCUAGCCUUAUCUUUAUUAUCGUAUGGACUAUCUAGUUUGAAAAAGUGGACUUUGGUUGUUCAUUUAAUAAAGCAAGUAUCAUUUGCCCCUUGCUUUAUGUCACAGGGGCUCCAACAAUGACUUUCUCAUAAUUCUUUGGAUUGCUCGUACCAAAAUCUCAAACCCUAAAAAUCCUAUUAGGAAUAAGAGAUUUAUUAGAAAUCAAGUUGGUGAUGUUGUUACUGGGGGUAAAACCAAACAGGUCUUGAAGCAACCGUCUAAGCAUUUUUCUCAUAAGCUCCUCACCACCGUAGAAUCCUUCUUCAAGAACAAGAGACUUCUACAUAAUACCAAUGGAUACAUGGAAAUACAAAGAGACUAGAUGAAGUGAUGAUCUGCAGAAGGUCAGGCAGAAUCUGAAUUAUCUAAUGCAAAGAAGAUUGAUGAGUAUAACUACACGGCAAAUGUACAAAUGAUGCAUAUACAAACACUAGAUAAGCGAGUUGGUUAACAAGAAGAAUGAGAACGAGUAUGCAAAGAGUGGGGAAUUCACCCAUAUGGUGCACCUUUACCGAAAAAUUACGGUUUUGGUGCACCUUUUAGGAAAAUCACAAAACUAGUUUAAUUUUAAUUUUCCUGAAAUCGGCAAUGAAAUUGCUGAUUUAUGUACUUUUUUUUCUCUCUCACUCCCUCCAAAAUCGGCACUAGGGGCAGUUUUAUUAAAAGCUAUUUUUUUCACGCUCUCCCCCCUAAAUCGUCAAUGGGGGGAGAUUUAUAUAAUUUUUUUUCCUCCUCCCCCUAAAUCGGCAAUGAGAGGGGGAAGUUUUUGUUUUUUGUUUUAUUUUUUUCUCCUCCCCUAAAACGACAAUGGGGGAGUUUUUCAUUUUUUUAAAUUUGUGGGACUUAUAUUAUUAGUUUUAGGGUUUAGUUUUUCAAACACUAAUCCUAACGACACACAACAUAAUAAUUUUUGUCAACCCUAACCUUAACAACAGAACACAAUAAUGAAAUAUUUUUUGCAACACUAAUAAAAUAUUUUUUGUAUAAUAUUAGUGUUGCAAAUAUUAGUGUUGGUGAAAAAAAUCAAAAACUCCCCAUUGCCAAUUUAGGGUGAGGAGAAAACAAACAAAAAACAAAAAAAAACAAAAAUUCUCCCAUUGCCGAUUUAGGGGGAGGAGAAAAAAAAAUAAAAAACUUAUAUAAAUCUCCCCCUUGACGAUUAGGAGGAAAAAAAAUAAAAAACUUAUAUAAAUCUCCCCCUUGACGAUUUAGGGGGAGAGUGUAAAAAAAAUAGCUUUUAAUAAAAGUCCCCCAUAAGAGGAAAAAAAAUACAGAAAUCGGUAAUUCUAUUGCCAAUUUCAGGAAAAUUUAGUUUUGUAAUUUUUCUAAAAGGUACACAAAAACUGUAAUUUUUCGGUCAAGAUGCAUUAUACGGGUGAAUUUGUCACGUAAGAGUGAUGACAAAAUUGUAAUAUGUUAAAAAGCAAUUGCUCAAACUUAACCUUGAUGUGACACUUGUCCUUCACGGUCAAUUGUACAUGUUUUGGCUUUGAGAUGAAGUGUGACAAAGAUCUAAAGUGCUGUAACCUUGGAUCCUUUUUUAUCGUUGGUGCAUUUAUAAACCUAAUUCUAGUAUCACGUCACUAGCAUCAGGUAAAUGUUUCUGUUCUCAUUCUUUUCUUUUUUUAUAUAUUAUAUAUUAUAAUAAUGUUAGUUAUAAUAAGUAUAUUUGCAUAUAUUUUAUAACAUAAAGUUUCAAUUAUAUUUUUAAAUAUUGUUUUUAAUUGAGUUGUGGUGUGAACACGAGUGCUAUUAUGGUUAAUCAAAUAUCUCUUUGAGAUUUUAUGCGGUGCAAAUAUUAGUUUAUGCUACUUCAUCUAUCAUGAUGAGAAUAAUAUUUCAAUUAUUUUUACAAAAUCUCUUUGAGAUUUGUUGCGGUGUAGACAUUAGUUUAUGCUACUUUAUCUGUCUUGAUGAGAAUAAUAUUUCAACUACUUUUAAAAAUCUCUUUAAGAUUUAAUGUGAUGCAGACAUUAGUUUCUGCUGUUUCAUCUAUCUUGAUGAGAAUAAUAUUUCAAUUACUUUUAAAAAAUAUCUUUAAGAUUUGAUGCAGUGCAGACAUUAGUUUUUGCUACUUCAUUUGUCUUGAUGAAAAUAAUAUUUUAACUACUUUUAAGAAGUCUCUUUGAGAAUUGGUGUGAUGCGGACAUUAGUUUAUGCUGCUUCAUCUAUCUCGUAAAUGAUUAAAUUUUGACUAUUUCAAAUAUAUAUUUGAGAUUUAGUGUGGUGUAGACAUUAGCUUAUGCUGCUUCAUCUAUCUUAAAGACGACAAAAUUUAAGUUGUUUCAACCAACCAAUUUCUAAACCAGAACUACGUAGUCUUCAUUUCUCUAUUGUACCAAGGGAUACGUAUGAGCAAUAUAAACUCUUGUCAAACAUAAAUAUAAAAAAAAUAAAAAUAUUUUGUUUUUAUAGUUAAAUUUUUAAUAAUAGUCUAAAGGUAUAAAAGUCCACGUGAUUAGAAAGGGUACCGUUUUAAUAUAGACGAAACCUAUGCCCUUGUAGCCAGAUUAGAGGCCAUCAGGAUGCUUCUUUCCUUUGCAUCUAUUAUGAAUUUCAAAUUAUUUCAAAAGGACGUAAAAAGCGUCUUCUUGAAUGGUUACAUUCAAGAAGAAGUUUAUGUUGACCAACCGCCUGGUUUUGAAAAUUUUAAAUAUCCGAACCACGUUUAUAAACUUAAAAAGGCACUCUAUGGGCUUAAGCAAGCUCCUAGAGCUAGGUAUGAUAGACUAAGUACCUUUCUUUUGGAAAAAGGGUUCGAAAGAGGCUUGGUUGACACAACGCUUUUUAUUCGUAAAUCAGAAAAUCAUGUAUUACUUGUACAAAUCUAUGUGGAUGACAUAAUAUUUGGAUCUACUAAUGAUAUUCUCUGUAAAGAGUUUUCUGAGAUGAUGCAGGGAGAGUUCGAAAUGUCUAUGAUGGGAGAACUCACAUUCUUUCUGGGGCUUCAAAUAAAGCAGCUAGAAAGUGGGAUAUUCAUUCAUCCGGCGAAAUCCUGCAAAGAGCUACUUAAGAAAUUUGAUAUGGAUAAAUGUAAGGAAGCCUCCACUCCUAUGGCAUUUGCUUGCUACCUAGACAAGGACGAAAAAGGAAAAGCAAUAGAGGUAACAAAGUAUCGUGGUAUAGUUGGGUCAUUACUUUACUUAAGUGCAUGUCGACUUGAUAUCAUGUUUAGUGCAUGCAUGUGUGCGAGAUUUCAAUCAUUACCUAAGGAAUCACAUUAUGUAACUGUUAAAAGAAUCAUGAGAUAUUUAAAAGGAACAACUAACAUGGGAUUAUGGUAUCCUCGGGAUGCCUCACUAUCCUUGGUGGGUUAUUCCGAUUCCGAUUUCGCCGGAUGUAAAUUGGAUCAGAAAAGCACUAGUGGUACUUGUCACUUGUUGGGCAGUUCAUUAGUAGCAUGGCACAACAAAAAGCAAGCCUGUGUUGCUUUGUCCACCGCCGAAGCGGAAUACAUUGCCGCUGGUGUGUGUUGCGCUCAAAUCCUAUGGAUAGUUUUGAUGAGUACAACUUGUGUUAAUAAGAGCUUGAAGAUCAUCAAUAAAUCAAUGUGCUUAAGUCUUAGAUUGGUAUUAGACUUAGACUAGUAAUUAGUUUAGGUUGAGUCUAAGGCUUAGGUAAACUCAAUACAUGUCUCAUAUGCAUAAAACUUUAAAUCAUUUUAGUUUUGAGAUAUGUCAUUUAUAAUAUGUUCAUGCAUUACAUAAAUACAUGUAAUCUGUGCAUCCUAGGCAUAAACUUAGUGUUGAACAUGUAUAAAUUAAGUGCAUAACGUAUUUGAGUUUUGCAAUUUGAAAAUACACUUAGAAAUAUGUUGUUNNNNNNNNNNNNNNNNNNNNNNNNNNNNNNNNNNNNNNNNNNNNNNNNNNNNNNNNNNNNNNNNNNNNNNNNNNNNNNNNNNNNNNNNNNNNNNNNNNNNCAUGUUCAUGCAUUCAUUGAUGUUUUUUUUGUGAAGAUUUUGUAUUCUGUAGAAUAUUUUUUCAACUAAUACAUUGUCAUGUUAUAUGAGACUUGUGUUAGAGUUUUAGAGUAAGGUCUUAAUUGUCUAAUUUGAGCAUUUUAAUUGCUUUAGAUUACUCUAUGUUUGUGUUGUAAAAAGUGUUGUAACAUUGAGAAUCUCAAGGUGUCUUACCACCAACGAGAUUGUGUUGUAUCUUCAUUAGCUUAGAGUUCUUGAUAGAAAGAAUAGGUUCUUGGCUGGGGCUACACCGCAAGAAAGGUUUUCUUGGGCGGUAGGAAGGGAGUCAAACCAAGGAAUAAGGUUCUUUAGUUUCAAGUGAAUAUCUAAGUGUUGUAAUUGGAAGAAUUGCUUGUAAAACAUUAUUGCAAUUAUAGUGAACAAAAAUCUCCCAGAUCAGCCGGGAGGCCUGAAUGUAGUUUGCAAGUGGACACGCAAACGAACCAGGAUAAAAACCUUGUUGCAGGCUUUUUCUUUCCCUCUCUCUCUUUAUUGCUUUAAUCGAUUACUCUGUAUAGUUGUUUUAAUUGAUAUAUUCUGUUUCCAUACUGUACUAGUGUAAUUCUGAUAUUUUGUAAGCUCUGUAAUUUCGUUUAAGUCUCGGUUAAUUGUUGUGCAAGAAACCGAAUCUGUUUGUAAUUUCUGAGUUGUUUCAAUCUCGGUUGAUUGUCGUGCAAGAAACCGAAUCUGUUUGUGUAAUCUGAGCUAUUUUAAUCGAUUAAAGUGAUUACGUUAAUCGAUUAUUUCUAUUCUGUUAAUCGAUUAAUCUGGGGUUAUUUCAACAUUAAUUGUUGUUUUCGAAAAGCGGAUAUUCUGACCGCUACACCUAUUCAACCCCCCCCCCCUUCUAGGUGUAUUUUAACCACUGAUACCUAACAGAUUUGACUAUAAAGCUCAACGGGUAUCUUGUAAAGAUUCACCCUUUUCUUUUCUCAAAAGAACACUUAGAAAAUCUAUCUAAAGAUAUGAAAGUUGGAGCUUUUGAUUUUCUGAACAAUAAUGCAUAAACUCUUUAUUUUGAAUAUGUGUUCUAACUCUAUGAAUCAAUGUUCAUCUCAAAAUUAUGAAGCAAUAUGAAAAACUUGGGUUAAUAUACCAUUUUGUUUUAAACUCAGUUAAUCGAUUAUGCUUAAUCUUAAUCGAUUAACGGGUUCUUGAAAAUAACAGAAAAUAGAAAUAGUAACAACCCCCAAUCAAUCAUAAACAACAACUUUUAUCCCCCUUUUGGCAUGAUUGAAAAUUAAAGUGAUAUAUUGAAGUAUAUUGCCAAAAGAAAGGAAACACAAUGCAAUUUCUACUGAUGUUAAUCGAUUAAAAUAGUGCUUAAUCGAUUAUGUGUAACUCAAUUUUGCUCAGAAUUGCAUUUUAGGUGAUGGUUAAUCAAUUAUGACAUGUUCUUAAUCGAUUAAACCUACUAUUAUGGCAGAAUACAGUGCAAGCCACAUGCUAGAUGCAUAAAGUUAUACAAUUUGAUAUUACUGGUUUCAUAGACUUGUUUUAUACCGAUUAUGUGCAUUGCAUGAAAGCAUUUGUUUAUGAUACCAUUUGUUUAUGCCUUUUCCAUUUAUAUACCACCACUUGUUGAUUGAAAAUUAAGCACAAUUAUAUCAAUGCAAUAUAUUUGAAAAUUACUAAGCAUUCAUUUAUCCAUCAAUCAAAUGAUUACGAGAUUGAUAUAAGCAGAACAUAAUUCAUUUUGAAAGCACAAAACCAAUAUAUUCAUAGCAUGUCAUGUCAUUAUAAUUCAAGUCAAAAUACAAAGACAAACUAACAAGUUUGGAAAGUACAAUGCAAUAACCUAAGGAUUACAAAAAACCACACACUCCUAAAAGAACAACUGGCUAGGACAGACUAGACAUCCUAAGCUAGCUAGGAGGCGGUUGCAGAAAUCCACCGAAGGAACUGAAGAAAAAGUGAAGCUGCUCGAAUCGACUCUGAUUCUCUUCAUCUUGUCUUCGAAACUCCACCAUGAGCCUAUCUUCCAUAGAUUGUAUCCUUGAUACUAUUUUUUGGUUCUUUAAGUCAAUUCGCUCAUUUAAGCGUUGUUCCAUGGAAUGCAGAUGAGCCAAACUAAGUAAAGGUCCUUGAGGCAUAUCAGGGGCCUCAUCAUUUUGUUGCCCCUAGUUUUGCUCACCUUGCUCACCACCUUCUUCUUCAGACAUUUCCAAAUCCAAAGUGGUUCUGUAGUCCUCUUGAUACAUCCAUUCACCUCCAUAUUUAUAGACACUCAUCUUGUGAAUGAUGUUCUCAUGAACCAUGUGCUCUCUAGAAUUUACAACAAUUAUCUCCACACCAGAUGUGUCGAUCCCUAAAUGAUCAAUGACAUGAGAGAUAAAAAUUCCAUUAGCCAACAAUCUUGAAGAUGAGGAUGCAAUGCCAUACAUCACUUUUAGAAUCUCGUCGGGCCACCUUAUCAAAAUUCCUUCUUUCAUAGGAAACAUAAGCUUCAAAUCAUUUACCGUUGGUUGCACAUGAUUUGUGUUGCGUUGAACCGAUAUGUAUGCUAUUAAGUAGUGUAAAAGCCUAUUUUCUAUGGUUAAAAAACCUGCCUUUGUGAGCUCACCUCGGACAAAGUAGUGGGGUCCCCUCUGUAACACCGCAAAUUUUACGAUUUCGAAUUAUAAGAUUUUAUUAAUAUUGUUAUUAAUUAUAUUUUCGAAAAUGAAUUUAUGGGAAUUUUCGAUAAAGAAUUAGACGAAACGCUAGUGGAGUUUUAGUCUUGUAAUUAUAUUUCCAAUUUGGUGGUAAAAUUUCAUGAUUUUCGGAGAUAGACGGUUUCGGGCAACUGUCUGGGCCAAAUCUCACCCGGUAUGGCUCAAAAAGUGGUUUUUGAGUUCUGUAACUCGGAAUUGAAUUCCGAUUGCGCCGUUGGCUUUGCAAUCAAAUUUCGAGUCAAGAUAGACCCUGAGUUGGUCCAUACCUAUUUUCUAAAUAUUUUUCGCUCGAAAUGCCGAAAAUCCGAAAUUCUAAUCGGAUAUUAAGAUCGAGCGAUUUAUAAUACCCGAUCGAAUAUUGGCUGAUAAUACUCGGGCAUGUUUAUCAGACGUGUCCGCAAGGUGAUCAUUUCGCAUUGGGAUGUGAGAUUUGACUUUCCAUAAAGCAAACCUCACAUCACUUUCUCAAAUCUCUUAUGAGAUCAUCAUUAGCCACCCUAUGAGAUUUUGUAAUGAUUUCCUAGAGGGAAAUCUGAUUUCCCUUUCCUCAUUAAACACUCCACACUUCACCAUUCACUCUCACACUCUCUCAUUUUCAAAUUUUCAAGGAGAAGGUGAAUCUAUCUUCAUCUUUUUCUCUCAUUUCUCAUUGUUUCUUCCAUCUUCAAUCCUUGAUCUCUCAACAUUCAACCAAUGGAUGUUGAUGAGAUUUAAGUAUGUUGUUCAUGAACAUNNNNNNNNNNNNNNNNNNNNNNNNNNNNNNNNNNNNNNNNNNNNNNNNNNNNNNNNNNNNNNNNNNNNNNNNNNNNNNNNNNNNNNNNNNNNNNNNNNNNAUGAUACUUUGAAUAACUUACUUUAAAGUGGUAAGCUUAUCAAAGAAUGUCUUAAAUCGGAAUAUGUAGUUUCACUAAAAACUGUAACCUUUAAAAUGGAUGGAAAUCGUGAACGAACUUUCGAUGAAAAAGGAUGGUCAAGAACAUGUGACGUUGGACUGGAUGGAUGAAAGGGAUGUAUGAUCACGAAGGAAAAAAGAGAAAAUGAUUUUAAGUAUUUUAGUAACGAUUUUAGAAAUAUCGGAAACUAACGNNNNNNNNNNNNNNNNNNNNNNNNNNNNNNNNNNNNNNNNNNNNNNNNNNNNNNNNNNNNNNNNNNNNNNNNNNNNNNNNNNNNNNNNNNNNNNNNNNNNUAUGACACCUGGAUCUCCUACACCAUCUCAAAGGUUUUGGAGUUAACUUGGGUUUUAAGAAAUCCAAGAUUUUUAUGUUUGAAUGCUUUUGAAUAUAUAUGAUUGUUGAUGAAAUGUGUUGAAUAUUGUAUAUGAUUGUUGUUGGGAACUUUUCUGAGUGCAGGUGUUCGAAAAACCAUGUUUAAAUGUGUUCCGGUGGUCGAAAAGGGCAAAAUUGGUAUUCUGUCCAAGUCCUUGUCGCUUGGGCGCCAAAAUCCCGCUUGGGCGAGCAAGCCUCGCUUGGGCGUGCAAGGGCCUCGCUUAGGCGAGAACACCCAGGAUUUUAAUGAGUUUUUGUAACUCUCUCGCUUGAGCGAUGAGAGGACUCGCUUGGGCGAGCAAGGGCGUCGCUUGGGCGAGAAAGCCCAGGAUUUUAAUGAGCCUCUGGAACUCUCUCGCUUGGGCGAGAGAUGUCUCGUUUGAGCGAGAAGAGGUCUCGCUUGCGUGAUAGUACUUUCGCCUGGGCGAGGAGAGCUUCAGUUUAUUUGAGAUAUAAAUAUGAAUAGUCGCUUGAGCGACUAGUCCCUGCUUUGGCGACGGACAGUGUGGAAAGAUUGAAAUGAAAUGAUGUUGUGAACAAUGUGAUAAACCCGGGUAGGGCGUGUUGUGAUAUAAAGGUUUUGGAAUGAGAUUAUGGCUUAGAUGCGAAGCAUGACUCCACAAAAGUAUGAAAGCAUUAUUUGUGUUUAUGCCUUGUUGGGCAAGUAUCCGACUUGAGGUCGUGAACUUGGGGGUACCCUAGUAAGGAUACAUGAUAUCACGGAACAACGAUCGACCGACCGUAAGAGGCUUGGUCAUGNNNNNNNNNNNNNNNNNNNNNNNNNNNNNNNNNNNNNNNNNNNNNNNNNNNNNNNNNNNNNNNNNNNNNNNNNNNNNNNNNNNNNNNNNNNNNNNNNNNNAAGUAAGCAGGGACGGCACUGAUUGGACGGUGAUUCGCCAACAAUGUCUUGAGGGAGAGUCUGGGUGAGACGAGUCCCUUGUAUUCCUGGGGAGGUACCCUGUUGGAUCGGACAGUUCUCACAGGCCAAACUAGGCACUCUCUGACAACCCCAGGAUUGCAUUCGAGAUCGACGAGAGGGAUGCCCAGAAAGCGUUUGUACGACCUAGGUCCGGGUAGGACUGUUCCUGAGGGAACCGAUCGAUCUAUUUUACUUCCUUGCGAGGAUCUGUUAUUUCGGGUGUUUACAAAGCGGCUUGGUACGGGACCUGUACUCUCGAUUAUUUUUGAUUAGGAUGUUGGAUGGAUAUUGGUGUAAGGUGGAUAAUCAUGACAUAUCAUGCAUUCAUUAUUAUUGUGGAAGUGAAUUCCCACAUGCGAGCUACAAGGAUUGUGUAUUCCUAGGUUUAUGCAUGUCAUAUGGUUAUGAGUAGAAUAUUAAUUAUAUCAUUUGAUAUAUUGGUAAUGUUGAAAUAAAUGGUAAGUUAUGUAUUACUUCGUGUCUGACUCGGAAGAGGAAAAGGACCCGAGUGAGGGGUCCAGCAUUCCUGGAAUCUUUUGAGUAAGCUUGUGGGCCGUCAAUGUCCCUUUUUGUUUUGAUGGGGGCUGUGUUUCUUUUUGAUUUUGUAUAGGUUAGUGGCGACGUAGUUUCCGCCUUUGUGACCUAGUUUGUAUGAACUAAUUAUGACUUAACCGAUUAUAUGCAUUGUGUUAUUCAGGAAAUUGUGAAUCAGGUUAAGUUAUCAUUCGAUAACGAUAAGUUGAUUUUCUGCAUUUGAGUUACUUAAAGUGAUGUCCCGGAAAAGGAAGGUUUUAAAAGGAAACAAUUUUAUAUAACUCAUUCAAAGAAAAAAAAUUUACCCAUUUUUCCGCAAUGUUUUUAAGAAGUAUUUUUCGGGACGUUACAACAUGGUAUCAGAGCGGCUCUUUCCUAUUCGGCCUGAGCAUGGCCUUACAUGCUUUCUUGUGUGACUUUGUGUGAUAGUUGUUUAAUUGAGUAUGAUUAGGUGAUUGUCGUUGGAGUUCGACGGUGGAAAUUUUUAAUGAGAAGAGUAUCUCACCUAGUUUAAAUGUGUGGUUAAUAAGAUGGCUGGAAGAGGAACCGCAAACCUGGACUUCAUGGCGGCAAUGACCGCGACAAUCCAAGGUGUAAAUGCUAAUCUACACCAGCUGAAUCAGCAACAACAUCAGGCUCAGUCGUCUCAAGGGUCGACUCAGUAUAAGGGGCUGGACGAGUUCUGUCGUCGUUAACCCCCAAGAUUUGGGGGAAGAUUUGCACCUGAGGCCGCAAAUGAAUGGAUCCAAGAGCUGGAGAAAAUCUUCUGGGCACUCAUGUGUACCGAUGAACAGAAGGUUACAUAUGCUACUUACAUGCUGAGUAAAGAAGCAGAUAACUGGUGGGAGUUUACCAGGAGGCAGAUGGAGCAUGAGCACCAGGAGGUCAGAUGGACCACAUUCAAGGACAAGUUUCUGCAUAAGUAUUUCCCUGCUGAUAUGAAGACAAGGAAGGAAAUGGAAUUCCUAAAGCUUUAACAGGGGAGUUUGUCGGUGGGAGGGUAUGCCGCCAAGUUCGAGGAAUUGGCGAGGUAUGCCCCACAUUACAACGAGAGGUCGAAGUGCACUAAGUUCGAGGAUGAACUUAAGCCCGACCUGAAGGUGAUGUUUGUUCACCAGCAGAUACCAGACUUUGCAACUCUGGUCAACAAAUGCAGGCUCUACGAAGAGAGCAUUGGAGCGAGAAAUGCGACACUGAAAAGUGUUGUAUCACCUCCAACAUGGGUCAGUCCACAGAGGAAUGGUGGACAGGGGUUUGGAAGGGGAAGGCCCUUCAACCGCAAUCAAAGGUUUGCUGCGUCUUCUUCAGGAAGUCAUAAGAGGAGCUUUCAGCCUUAUAACAAUAGAGGCUUCAGACCAGGAAGAAACAACAACAACAACAACAACCACAACAACAACAGCAACAACAACAACAACAACCACAAUAGCAACAACAACAGCAAGAUGAGUUCGUCUGUCGGGAACUACAAUCAGACUUUGACACCAGUGUGUCCCAAGUGCAAGGGAAGGCACGUUGGUAGCAUCUAUGUGACUUGCUUUCAUUGCAAUGAGGUAGGACACUACAAGUCUUCAUGCCCAAAGCUAAAAAGGGAAGCAGUGAGCUCAGUGCAGGCGGCACCACCCAAGGCUCAUGGCAUAGUGUUCACGAUGAGCGGAGCAGAGGUCGGGGCUAACGAAGAUCUCAUUCAAGGUACCUACAACGUUAACGAGAUUCCUUUAUCUGUACUGUUUGAUUCGGGUGCGACCCAUUCCUUUAUUGCUAUUGAUGUUGUCAACCGUUUAGCUUUACCUGUUGUGUCUCUGAUUUGCUUGUAUCCACACCCACUAGUGAACCAGUUAUCGUGUCGACAGUGUGUUCCCAAUGUCCGAUAACUUUAGAAAGCUGAGUAUUUUUUGGUGGACCUGAUAUGUCUACCCUUAUCCCAACUAGAUAUCAUCUUAGGGAUGGACUGGUUAUCUAAAAAUCAUGUUCUUUUGAACUGUUUUAGUAAGACCGUAGUGUUUAGCGAACCUAUAGAAACCAGUAAACCCAACUAUGAGGCUAAAAAUACAUCUGCCAAUGAGAUGGAGAAGUUGUUGAAGAAUGAAGCUCAGGUGUUUCUGAUGUUGGCUUCGUUGGAAAGGGAAGGUAGAGCAGAGAUUCAGAGCCUACCUGUAGUACGAGACUUCUACGAGGUAUUUCCGGAAGACAUUCCUGGAUUACCUCCAGUAAGGGAGAUAGAGUUUGCUAUCGAUCUAGUUCCUGGAACUGGACCGAUCUCUAUCGCUCCUUAUAGGAUGGCAUCGUUGGAGCUAACGGAGUUGAAGAAGCAGUUGGAAGAUCUGCUGCAAAAGCAAUUUGUCAGACCUAGCGUUUCGCCGUGGGGUGCACUAGUUUUGUUUGUCAAGAAAAAGGAUGGUAGUAUGAGGUUGUGCACCGAUUACCGGCAGCUGAAUAAGGUCACCAUCAAGAACAAGUAUCCAUUGCCGAGGAUUGAUGAUUUGAUGGAUCAACUGAGAGGAGCUACAGUGUUUUCUAAGAUCGAUAUGAGAUCUGGAUAUCAACAAAUACGCGUGAAGUCGGAGGAUAUUCUGAAAACUGCUUUUCGGAUGCGUUAUGGUCAUUAUGAAUACCUCGUGAUGCCAUUUGGUGUAACCAAUGCUCCUGUAGUAUUCAUGGAUUACAUGAACAAAAUUUUUCAUCCUUAUCUCGACACAUUUGUAGUCGUAUUUAUCGAUGAUAUUCUAAUUUACUCAAAGACUACAGAAGAACAUGCCGAGCAUCUACGAGUGGUGCUGCAGAUAUUGAAAGACAACAAGCUUUAUGCCAAACUUUCGAAAUGUGAGUUUUGGCUAGAGUCUAUAAAUUUUUGGCUAGAGUCUAUAAAUUUUCUUGGUCAUGUGAUCUGGAAGGGAGGAAAUGCGGUGGAUCCUGCGAAGGCGGAGACUGUAAUGGACUGGAAUUCCCCUAAGUCAGUAACGGAGAUCAGGAGUUUCCUUGGUAUAGCGGGCUAUUAUCGGAAGUUCAUUGAAGGAUUCUCCAAAUUGGCGUUGCCACUGACUAUGCUGACAAGGACAGAUAAAGCGUUCGUCUGGACGGCCAAGUGUGAAGAGAGUUUUCAGGAAUUGAAGAAGAGGAUGACCACAACACCUGUUUUGAUAUUGCCAAAUCCUAGCAUAAACUACAAUGUGUAUUAUGACGCGUCGAAACAAGGGUUAGGUUGUUUGUUGAUGCAACAAGGGAAGGUGGUGGCUUAUGCGUCAAGACAGUUGAAGACUCAUGAGCAGAACUAUCCAACGCACGAUUUGGAACUAGCUGCGAUCGUGUUUGCUCUCAAGAUCUGGAGACACCAUCUAUACGGUGUAAGGUUUGAAGUGUUCAGCGAUCAUAAGAGCUUAAAGUACUUAUUUGAUCAGAAGGAACUGAAUAUGAGGCAAAGGAGGUGGAUAGAAUUCCUCAAGGAUUAUGAUUUCGAUCUUCAGUACCACCCUGGAAAAGCAAAUGUGGUAGCUGACGCAUUAAGCAGGAAGUCUUUGAAUAUCUCGACGAUGAUGGUUAGCGAGAUGAAGCUGAUAGAAGAAUUCAGAGAUUUGAAUCUAGCAGUUCAAGUUGGACCUAAGAGUUUGAUUUGUGGCAUGCUCACCGUAACGAAUGAGUUCAUGGAGCAAUUGAAAGGUUUACAAGAUUCAGACUCAGAACUGCAAGAGAAGAAAUGACUGUUGGUCGAAGGAAAAGCUCCCGAAUUUCAGAUUGGGACUAAUGGGGUACUCAAGUGCAAAAACAGAAUUUGCGUGCCAAUAGACCCUAAUUUGUGGAUGGCAAUCUUGGACGAAGCACACCGGAGCAAGUUGAGUAUUCACCCGGGAACUACCAAGAUGUAUCAAGAUUUGAAGAAAAUGUUCUGGUGGUCAGGGAUGAAGAAAGAGGUAGCCGAGUAUGUUUCCCGUUGCUUGACAUGCCAGAAAGCGAAGAUUGAACACAAGCGACCUGGUGGAGAACUACAACCAUUGGAUAUUCCGGUUUGGAAAUGGGACAACAUUUCGAUGGACUUCGUGAGUGGAUUUCUGAAGACUCAAAAGGGUUAUGACGCUGUUUGGAUAAUUGUGGACCAUUUGACCAAGAUAUCUCACUUUAUGCCUAUCAACAUGAAGUACUCUUUGGAGAAAUUGGCGGAGUUGUACAUUAAAGAGAUUGUCCAAUUUCAUGGUAUUCCCACUAAUAUCAUCUCGGAUAGAGAUUCGCGUUUCACUUCCAAGUUCUGGAAUGGUCAAUCCGAAAGCACGAUCCAAUCAUUGGAGGAUCUUCUUAGAGCAUGUGUGUUGGAGAACCCAGGAAGUUGGGUUGAUCAUCGACAUCUGAUCGAGUUCACCUACAAUAACAACUUUCAUUGAAGUAUUGGUAUGGCGCCGUAUGAAGCUUUGUACGACAGGAAAUGCAGAACGUCGUUAUGCUGGUUAAAAACGGGGGAGAAUUUGAUUUUAGGACCCGAUGUGGUUCAGCAAACGACGGAUAAGAUUCGAAUGAUAAGGGAGAACAUGAAGACAGCUCAGAGCAGACAGAAGAGCUACUAUGGCAAGAGGAGGAACCCUCUCAGUUUUGCAAAAGGCGAUCAUGUAUUCAUGAGAGUGGUUCCGACAACUGGUAUUGGCAGGCUAUUAAAAGCUCGUAAGCUUAGCCCAAAAUUCAUUGGACCUUACCAAAUCCUU